ensembl:rRNA 5S_rRNA 5S ribosomal RNA
AUCAAUGGCCAUGCUACCCUGAACAAGCCUGGUCCCAUCUGAUCUUGAAAGCUAAACUGGGUUGGGCCUGGUUAGUACUUGGAUGGGAGACCACCUAGGAAGACCAAGCCCUGUAGGCU